rnacentral:rRNA from 1 species
UGCAAGUCGAGGGGCAGCAUAAUGGAUAGCAAUAUCUAUGGUGGCGACCGGCGCACGGGUGCGUAACGCGUAUGCAACCUACCUUUAACAGGGGGAUAACACUGAGAAAUUGGUACUAAUACCCCAUAAUAUCAUAGAAGGCAUCUUUUAUGGUUGAAAAUUCCGAUGGUUAGAGAUGGGCAUGCGUUGUAUUAGCUAGUUGGUGGGGUAACGGCUCACCAAGGCGACGAUACAUAGGGGGACUGAGAGGUUAACCCCCCACACUGGUACUGAGACACGGACCAGACUCCUACGGGAGGCAGCAGUGAGGAAUAUUGGUCAAUGGACGCAGGUCUGAACCAGCCAUGCCGCGUGCAGGAUGACGGCUCUAUGAGUUGUAAACUGCUUUUGUACGAGGGUAAACGCAGAUACGUGUAUCUGUCUGAAAGUAUCGUACGAAUAAGGAUCGGCUAACUCCGUGCCAGCAGCCGCGGUAAUACGGAGGAUUCAAGCGUUAUCCGGAUUUAUUGGGUUUAAAGGGUGCGUAGGCGGUUUGAUAAGUUAGAGGUGAAAUUUCGGGGCUCAACCCUGAACGUGCCUCUAAUACUGUUGAGCUAGAGAGUAGUUGCGGUAGGCGGAAUGUAUGGUGUAGCGGUGAAAUGCUUAGAGAUCAUACAGAACACCGAUUGCGAAGGCAGCUUACCAAACUAUAUCUGACGUUGAGGCACGAAAGCGUGGGGAGCAAACAGGAUUAGAUACCCUGGUAGUCCACGCAGUAAACGAUGAUAACUCGUUGUCGGCGAUACACAGUCGGUGACUAAGCGAAAGCGAUAAGUUAUCCACCUGGGGAGUACGUUCGCAAGAAUGAAACUCAAAGGAAUUGACGGGGGCCCGCACAAGCGGAGGAACAUGUGGUUUAAUUCGAUGAUACGCGAGGAACCUUACCCGGGCUUGAAAGUUAGCGACGAUUCUUGAA